UCUGCGCAGUACAUCAAAAACAAAACUUUAAAUGCGUUUUUCUCAAAACGCGGUUUCCAGUUAUAGGUUGUUCUUGGUGCAAUGUCCUCAAUUGCCCUUGCAGUGGUU